UACGUAGGGUGCAGGCGUAAUCGGAAUUACUGGGCGUAAAGCGUGCGCAGGCGGUUUGCUAAGACAGGUGUGAAAUCCCCGGGCUAACCUGGGAACUGCGCUUGUAACUGGCAAGCUAGAGUGUGGCAGAGGGGGGUGGAAUUCCACGUGUAGCAGUGAAAUGCGGUAGAGAUGUGGAGGAACACCGAUGGCGAAGGCAGCCCCCUGGGCUAACACUGGAC
rnacentral:rRNA from 1 species